AGGAACCCAAGAUGAUGUGAAUGUGAGUGUUCACCAAGGCAGAAACUGCUUUCAAGGCCAGGGACUCAGAGCAAGGCAAGGAAGUCAUCUGACACUCUUUGGCUGAAGAGCUGUUGUGGAAAGUCAGUGACCAGCUUUGUUGUUCCAAAAUAAAAUGGAGGUUUAGAGAAGCGACUGUGUUGUAGUUCCACUAAAGGUGAGAGUGGAUUGGAAUUGCAAGACCAAAAAUGGAACUGUAUCCUGCACAGCCCUCCUGGACCAGGACAUGGAAAGGACAGCACUGGAAGGCUUAUGCACUACCAAGUGUGCUUUCACAACCUCUUUGGCUACAGAGACAUCCUGCAUCCCACAUGCAUCUCACCUGGUAAACAUGAAUUUGCUCUGGCUAUUCUUUACACCAGUAGAACACAAGAAAGUAGCUUUACAAAAAUCAAAAUAGUGGACAGCUCGAGCUCAUGCACCUCCACAGGAAUUAGUAACACAGCACUCUUUCUGUGUGCUUUGUGCUUCAGAACUGCUUUGUGUCUGGCUUAUCUGGAGCUCAGGACGGACUAGUCUGUAGCCUGCCAUGCACAGCCAAGAUUUAGAAGCAUUUCCUCAAACUUGAAAAAGUUACUUUUAUUUUAGAAGGAAGUAGAGAUCAACACCUAAUCCCUUGACCACAGGUGCUGGGACUUUAAGAAGAACAACAAAUAUCACAACAGUCCCAAAGAAAACAGUGAGAGCUGGCAUUGCUGCUGUUGGCAAUUUGAAUUUGUGAACAAAGUUCAGGCAAACUAUUGGUUUCGGUCUCAUUUUUACAUUCAGGGCAGUGUUGAUUUUUGAGUACUUCUGUGGUGUGAUCUAAAUCAUUUUUACUCCACUAAUUAGGAUGACACCUUUGAUGCAGACUGUAGCCCUUAGGCUUCUGUACUCAGUUCAGUUUGGUUCCUUAAGACUCAGGUGAGAGAUCAACAUUUCCCACUUGUCACAAUUAUAAUUUGCGACACAUUUGUGGCACAGAAGCAUCUGUAUGAUGCUAUAUGAUUGCUGUGCAAAGCCCAAAAUCUGACUGUGAUUUUGCAUUGAAUGAGACACACACAUUUAAGACUCAGUGCUGCUCUGUUUUUCAACAACUUUGAUUUAAAAUAAAGUUGGAUCUGUGAUAAGGACACUAGACCAGGGAUCAGGAGAAUUUGGUGUUAUUCCCCAUUCCAAUAUUGGCCCAAGAAGUAAAUCUAUAGAAGUCAUUUCAUUUGUUGGUACCAUUUUUCUGUCCAAUUUUACUAGUUUAAAAGGUAAAUUGGAGACUACUGCUGACUCUGAGACAAGGAUGUGCCUAUAGAGCUAAAUGUAAUCAACAUAGUAAAUUAAGACGUGGGUGUGCAAGUGAAACAUUUGUACAACUGCUCACUAAAUAGCUAUACAAAAAUGCCCAUUUGAAUUUGUGAAUUCUGAGCUUAACUGACAGAUAUUUUACUGCAAGUUGUCUGUUAAGUGUUUGUUUCAGUAAACAAGAAUUGUGUCAUGGUGAUGUUGUUUGGGUGAAAGUUUCCUGCAUGUUUGGGAUUCUUUGGAUAAAAUGCUGGCCUAAAAAACAUGAUCCAUACCAAUUCCUAUGAAAAAUAUGCAGUUUGAAUAUGCUUGUCUCUAUACAGGGUCCCUGUUGUGCAUGUUACCACAAUACACAAAAUGUUGUUGACUGAAAAAUUACAUAAAAAAAAAGAACAAGAGUGUCAACAGAGGAGCUCAACAGUUUCUGUCAUUUAAUGUAGAGAAGUAAAAACUUCUUAAAAAGGCAACUUUUUAAGUUUGCAUAUUUCCUAUUCUCACCUCGACCCCACCCCCCCUUUCAGACUAACCCUCAAAUUUGGAUCAGGUGGGGAGCUGUGGCUUAAAUAGUUCCUUAGCAGCUGGAGUGUUAGUUGCUGUGCUCUCUUUGCUCUUCUGAGUAUGCCAAUGUUUUUAUAUUUCAGCUUUUUUAUAUUUAAUAGGGAAUUCUUUCAAAAGGAAAAAAGAUAUUAAGUCAAAUUUUCAAGAACUGGAGCAACUUACAAGUCUCUUGAAAGGUAAGGUCUCUUGAAAGUUUCCUUUUGUGAUGUUCAUGUUCAGAUGAAAAAUUAAGGAUGAGGUUAUGAGGGACAGCUGUUAAGACUGUCAUUUGAAACUAAGAAAUGAGGAAAUAAUGAACAAAAAGUGGUAUGAGUUCAAAACAGGGUAAUUUUUUGCUGGGGAGGAGGGUGAUGGUAUCGCAUUGAAUUAACUUAGUCCUGCCUUCUAAGUGAAGAAAAUGAGUGCUGCUGAGAAUGCUGGGCCUUUCCAGAGCAGUAUAUGAUUGGUUUUCAGUACCUUGAACACCCGGAGUCUGAAGAGUUGGGAUUUAGGAAGACAGUAAAAGAAGCAACUGUAAUAUUCAAAAUAUGAAGUGAUUAGGAUUGCAACAGGAUUGUAGGAGAGGAAAACUCAAGGGAAGGAUAGAUACAGACAGCUUUCUGAAGGUACCAAUAAGCUUUUACAUACGGAAACACUAGCUAGUGUUUUUCUUUCUUUUUUGAAUUUGUUGGCAGUUUCAUUGUUAAUUUAUCUUCUCACUUGAGGCCUUUCUCCUAAUAGCGUAGAAAUCAAAGUUUCUUGGGAAGGAGUGUCAGCAGCUCAAUAUGUUUAGCUAAAUCUUGUCCUAAACUGUUAUGUGCUGUUGCAGUGUGCUGUUGCAGUAUGCUGUGUAAUAUGUACCACAGUCCCCUGAGAGACAAUUGCAUUUCAGUGAUGGUUACAGUGAUGAUUAUCCACGUACUGAGGAGAUCUGUGUCUUGUGUUUCAGAGUUUUGUGGCAUAAUAAAUCCUCCUAUAUCUUUACCUAUAUCAAGUGUACCUCCAAUAAAGAUCAAGCUUCUGGACAACCCUGAAAAACAUUAAGUAUCCUUUUUUUUUUUUUUUUUUCCUUAGCGAGGCCCCAAAUUUCAAAUUGAUUCCCCUUUAUAGGCAACCUUCCUACCUUGCAGGAAAGUUAAUAAUUAGGCUGGGAUAAGCAGGAUGUUUGAGAAUCAAUAGUAACUAAUUUAGUGUUAUUAGAAAUAAGGAACUUGCUGUUCCAGAAAAAGAGAUGCCCAGUUGCACAUUUUAGUGUCGCUGCCUCAUGCAUGGAGGCCCCAAAGUACGGGAUAUAAAAGCAAGGCAUGUUUGAUUAAUGAGGACUGGGUCGAGUUCAUCU